rnacentral:lncRNA from 10 species
AUUUUUUGUGGAGACAGGAUCUCGCUGUGUUGCCCGGGCUGGUCUCAAACUUCUGGACACAAACAAUCCUCCACAUUGGCCUCCCAAAAUGCUGGAAUUACAGGUGUGAGCCACUGGACCAGCAGGACUCUAAAUUUUGACAACUUCAACUAAUGUUGAAUGCCAAAGUGUAAACGUUGAUCGUGUGACAAAUGUAAAUUGAUUCAUGAGGAGAGACUGUGGUUUGGUGCAAAGAAAGUGUUCUGGAAUUGGAAGAUCUGGAUCAGACUCAGGCUCUGUCAGAUAAUGGCUGUAUCAUCUUUGAAAAGCAAAACAAUCUACUAAUGAAAUCAGAAGGAUUUCCAGUGAUGCUGCCCACAUUUCUGUGAAAAAGAGGAAGUUUUUUAAGUCAGAUGGAAGUUACACUUUUUCAAAAAAAAAAAUAUGCAGGGAAGAAUAACUCUCUCUCAUCAAUGUGGUAGGAAAAUAAAAUAUAUUAAUAGUUAAUAAGUAACAUUUGUUGAGAAUUUAUAAUAUCCUAGUUGAG